GCCGGCACCCACCCCUGCUUUCCAGAGCCCGGGAGGCGCAGAUAACCCAUGACCUUUGUGCAGAAGCUUUUCCGUGGAACAAGAGAGACUCCUGGGCCUGCUGCUCAGAGGCCCCGGGAAGCUUUUGCAGGGAGUCAGGGAGAAGCCACUGGGGCCAGUCACUUCCCGGAGCUUCUCUGCAGGCCAUAGACCCUGUCUGAGCACAUGAUGAACAGCCCCGCAAAAACGGGCCAGACUGCGCGGAGCAGCUUGGUGUGAUUAGAAGGUAGAUUUACUGCCCCGGGCCCACAGAGUCUGCUGCUCAAGGGAGCCAAAGAGGUGUAAAUAAUCCAGGCCUCCAGGCUGGACUCAGUCCUGGGAGAGAUAGACCCAAGAUAGGGCCCCAGAAAGAGAUUAAAAAAAAAAUCUUGGCCUGAGUCUUAGAGGGAUGCAGGGUAGAAGUUGGCCAGCUCUGAGGAGCUGCAACUCUGCCUGCAGAGACAGAGAGCCCUGAGAAAUGGACCUCUCUCCUUUGCUGGGUAACCCCCGAGUCGGUUCCCCACCUGCCUGGAUGCAACGCUAUUCUCUCGGGGUUUUAUUUGAUCUGAAUGAAUAUGUAGGAGCAGAGAGAAGGCAAAUGCAAGGAGAGCUGUAGUGAAGGACAAGAGAAGGGGAGAUGGGGUUUCACCAAAGCAAUGGAGAUGCAGGAAGCAAAGCUUAGACCUUAGGAAAAGCUGGCUGCAUUUCCACUCAUUGUCAGUGGGUCAACAGUUGGUCAGCAGUGGCGGUGGUCUUGGCAUUGACAUGGUAAGAUCAAGGCUGUAAGAAGCAGAAAGGACCGUGACUCUGUCUUGGUGUGGAGGACACUGACUUAGGCUAGAUAAGGGGGACUAGAUAAUACUGUGCUGGGGGACCAGAGAGCUUUCUCAAGGUGCCUCCCUGCUCGGGCAUCAUUCUCAAAACACUCUGCAAAGAUUCCAGGCGUCUGUCAUCAGGUUCAGCCGGCCCAGAGUUCUCUUUCUCUCCUCCGUGUUUGUGUUUAUGAAUUCUGAAUUGGGGACAAGGGAGGCGGGAAGGGAGGCAGAGGUAAACAGGUACCUGAUGGUACCUGAUAAGGAAAGUAGGGGUGCAACUCUAACUUGAAAAUUCCUUCUCAGAAGAGAUGACACAAAUCAUAGGCUAAUCGUUGGCAAAUUAUAACACAUCUUCUUGAAGCCACCCUUUUUUUUUUUUACCUUCCUUUAUGUAACCCCCAUGAUCAAGGCAUAAACAGGUCCAGAUGGGAACUUGUAACCCUAAAAAAGAAAAAAAAAUGGCUGAUCAUGUAUUUAUUGGGAACAACGUUCUGGAAAAACAUCAAAAUAAGUGGAACUUGGUCACUCUCCUUCAGUUGCUUGGAAUCUAACAAGGGAAUCUUUAGCAUCAGGUUGGAGGCUAUAAAUGCUCUGCCUUUCCUUUCUGUUUUUCUUUGUUUAUAAGACAAACAGUUAUUUCUUUCAAAUGGUAGAUGGGCACCACACAAAUUCAAAUAAUUCAAAUUUGCCUUCUCCGGAUGGUCCCGUAGGCAGGUGCAUAAAAGGAUGGUCAGAGGGAUCAAACAGAUCUGUGGUCCCCCACCUUUUUUGACACCAGGAACCAAUUAUCAUGGAACACAAUUUUUCCAUAGAUGGCCGUGGGGGAGUGGGGUUGGUUUCGGGAUGAUUCAAGCACAUUACAUUUAUUGUGUACUUUAUUUCUAUUAUGAUUACACCAGCUCCACCUCAGAUCAUCAGGCAUUAGAUCCCAGAGGUUGGGGACCCCUGAAAUAGAGCCACAUUGACAUGAAAUUAAUAUUUUCAGAAGAUGUUAAGUAUGGCUGAGGAGCAAGCUGAUAACUCUGGAUAAAAAUUCUUUCUUGGGUUCUCGGAGCCCCAUGAAGUGGAAAAGCAGAAAGAGCCAACAGAAGUGACCAGUGAGACCUCGGUGGGACCGAGAUGAUGCUGAGACACGUCUCUGGGCUAAAUGCUCGGUCGCUUCAGUCCCAUCUGACUCUUCGCAGCCCUAUGGACUGUGUAGCCUGCCAGGCUCCUCUGUCCACGGGAUUCAUAUCUUUCACUCAAAUGAGAUGCUUUUCGAAAUUGAAUUCAAAACGUGACCAAAGGAAAGGGCUGGAGGCUGAUAAGUGGCCUUCAGGGAAUAUAAUGACCUCUCCAGACCAUAUCUGAUGUUGCCUCUGGGAGCAUCCGCGCUGACUAAACCGAGCGUCGGCAGCUGAUUUCUGAAUUACCCUCCUUCAGUCUCACCUCCGGGGUCUGCUGCCCAGCUCCUGUGAGUCGGCCCCAGCGCAGAGCCGCUCGGUAGUAACGGUCGCACGGAGCAGACAUGGAGGGGUUUGGGUUUAUCGCCGUGUGGCUGUCUUGAAUCAGCUGAGCCAUGAGUCGGGAGGCCGCUAUGCCAGGCGGAGCCCGGGUCAGUGGGCAUCGGAGGUGGAGCUCGGAGUCUUGCCGCUUGGAGAGCCACAGGCCACGGGCCAGACAGUACCCCGGGGGUCUCACCAGGGGCCGGGCCCGGGGAGGGGGGCCACCCGAGGCGAGCAGCAACGAGUGCGGUUUUCAGGCAGCCUGGACCUCGCAAAGGCAGCAGUUGAAUGUGUGGCGAGAGAACAGCCGACGGUAGUGAAGUCGGAUGGCGUGCGUUCUGGGUCAGUGUUUGCCCUGAUACUGGAUGUAUGACCCCCUUAACAGCUUCUGUUUCCUCCCUUCUGGAAUGGAGAAAGUGAGCUGAAGUCGCUCAGUCGUGUCCGACUCCUUGUGGCCCCGUGGACUCUAGCCCCCUCAGGCUCCUCCAUCCGUGGGAUUGUUCCAGGCAAGAAGACUGGAGGGGGUUGCCGUUUCCUUCUCCAGGGGAUCUUCCCGACCCAGGGAUCGAACUCAGGUCUCCUGAAUUGCAGGCCAUCUCUUUACCGUCUGAGCCACCAGUGAAUCCUGGUGGAAAUGGAGGAUCUGUGUCUGAUAACAGGAUUGUGUCUGAGGUCUGACGCUCUCAACAGGGUGGCCUCAGACAGGUCCCACCUUCUCGUCUCACAGGCGUCGAGGUGAUGCUGGCUGAGACGGCAAGCAGGGGGCUCCUCCUGCCGCGUCACCUUACACACCACCAGCCCUCUUUCCUGACGGCCCCUCCCAGCUCUCAGCCCUGAGGAUCCCAUUUCGCAGGAGGGCGGCGACAGUGGGUGGUGAUGAGCAGGAAGCUAAGUGGCGGUCGGCACCACCCCCAGGCCUCAGGCCAGGCCAGGAGACCUGUGUUCUCAUCCCGGCCCCCCUUUAACCAGCUGGGUGACCUAGACCCUGGACUUCUCAGGGACUCAGUGUCCUCAGCUUGAAAGAUGGAGAGAAUAAAUAUGAACGUAGAGUCUCUUUCAGCUAUUAAAGAGUUUCUCUAAGGUCUGGGGAUCAGGACUCUUUUCCAUCUCCAGAAGACAGCCUCAAAAGCACAGAAAACAGUCUUGAGGUCAAACCAAAAGAACUUUCUAAAGGAGAGUUUUUAUGAGGCUGUGUGUGCCCUUCUUUAUGAGGCUGUGUGAACUUCUUCCCCCAAGGAUGAACUCUGCAGUGAGGAUAGAACGAUGGCUAUGGGCCUCCAUGUUGGCUCAGCUGAUAGAGAAUCUGCCUGCAAUGCAGGAGACCCGGGUUUGAUCCCUGGGUUGGGAAGAUCCCCUGGAGAAGGAAAUGGCAGUCCACUCCAGUAUUCUUGUCUGGGAAAUCCCAUGGCCGGAGGAGCCUGGGGGCUACAGUCCAUGGGGUCACAAAGGUCAGACAUGACUGAAGUGAAUAAACCACCGCUAUGGAUAAGCAGAUUCUUGUUUUGAGGCAAUGAUUUAAGGCUUUGGAGUUCUCUGAAAGACCUAAGACUUUAUAAGACAUGAUGGGAAUGGUGGUUUGCCAUCACCCCACUUUACAGUAAAUCUCUGGGCAGCCUCCUCGCAUCUCUGCCUUCCCUGGGUCCCUAGCUUCUGUCUCCCUGUUUCCCUCCCCUUCCCCCAAAUCAUGGUGCCUGUUGUAUUCUUGACACCACAAGAGAGUAGAAUCAGGUGCCUGGCCUCCAGCACUGCCUAGAGAGAGUCUCCCCUCCCCACAGAGUCAGAACAAUCCAAUAUAGGCUCAUGUGUUCAGGCAAGUUUCCUCUCUCUCUCUUAGUUAAUUAAAUGUAAUUAAGAAAUAGGACUAGUAAGAAGUGUUGGGCCAUUAGUGCCACUGCUUAACGACCUUUGACAAGUUGGUGUUAAUGUUCUGUUAAUAGAUCCAAGGCUGGCCGGUCCCAGGGGAACGUUUGGGACCCGAUUCCCCCAAUCCUACUAAUUGCCCAGAUGCUGCACUGAUAGGAUGCCCGGCCCUUCCUUAGAAAGUCCGGCCCAGCUUCCUCGACAGCGAAUCGACCGGCAGAUGUUGUGGGAGGGGACACCAGCCGCUACCAUACCCUCAGUGCCUAAUGGAAGUCAGACUGCGGGUCCCGGGACAAUCAGGCAGUGAGCCAAGAGAAAACCCAAGUCACCAGCUGAAAAGAAACUUGAUAGCCCCAGUUUCCACCCAACUUGUCAGGCUGGCCACUCUCCGAAAGGGGAGCUCCCCCUGUACUCCGGGUGGAUGGGAAAGAAGUAUGGGGAUGGAAGCAAUUAUUCUAUUUUAUACUUUAAUUAGUUUGAAUUAGCAGAGGGAAUAGAGGCAUAAAAUGAUCCAGCGAAGGGUGAAAUGGAAAAAGGGAGUCACAGUGGAGAAUGGCUCCACGAAGGCUGCAAAAGGCCUUGGGAACAGCAGAGAGGCUGGCGAUGGGUGUGUGUGUGGUUGUUUAGAGUGGGUGAGGGCCUGGGAUGCUGCUAUCUAUUUCAAGGCCUGGAGAGGCAAGGUAGCAUAGUGGUUAAUAGCGGGAGCAUGGCCAUCAGACCGCCUUGCUCGUCAUCUGUUGCCACUAACGAAACAUAUGGCUUUAAGAAAGUUAUUUCACUUCUCUACCCCUCACUUUCUCCAUCUGUAUAAUGGGCCUCAUAUUGGUGACUGCUGUGAGGAUUGAGAGGCCGUAUAUAAACUACCUAGCACCGUCUCUAACACACAGUCAGUGCUUUCAAUAAGUGACAAUGAUUAUUAUCAUUAUCACAAGACCCCAGUGCUGGGAAAGAUUGAGGGCAGGAGGAGAAGGGGACGACAGAGGAUGAGAUGGUUGGAUGGCAUCACCGACUCAAUGGACAUGAGUUUGAGCAAGCUCCGGGAGGUGGUGAAGAACAGGGAGGCCUGGCGUGCUGCAGUCCAUGGGGUCACAAAGAGUCGGACACAACUGAGCAACUGAACCACAUUAUUAGUGAUAUUAUGAGAAUUUCUGAGACCCCCAGGGAGGGCCAGAAGCAUCUCCACUGUAAAUUAUGGCUAAGACAGAUCCCAGUCUCGGGCAAACACCUCCAACCUGACAUUCUUGCUGCUCCCUCCCAAGGGACGCCUCAGAAGCCUCUGUCCUGGUCAAACACCAUCUGAGUCACUCAUAAUCUGCUAUUUAUUUUUAAAAUCCAAGAAUGUGCCCAGCAGACUAAACAGUCCCGCUCCCCUUGAUACAGGCGGAGGCAGCUCUAGGCUCGUGUGUGAGGCCCAGGAGGCCAGUAUUCCAGGCAUCUGUGGAGAGAAGGGAGGGAGACCCUGAGCCCUGGUCAUCCCCCAAGACUCAGACUCCUGUCUGGCUGCGUAUGUGGACAGUGGGCUGGAAAGGGGCUGCCCGGGGGCUUACUGUAUCUGACCUCUGCAACAAAGUGAACUCUAUCUCCAGCUCACUGCCAUAGAGGGAGCUGCCAUGCUCACCAACUAAGUCAGGCAUUCAGGUAGGGUGCCCUAAAGGCCGCUUGUCUCUUCUCUGCAGCAUCCAGACUGGAGCCUCUGCUGGGAUGAGGUGAAAGGCCUGGAUGACUGGAUGACUAGGGCUAGCAUGGUCUGGAGCCACACGUGUGGCAGCUGGACCCAGCUGGGCCGUCAGCCGCGCUGGCUUCCACAAGGCCUCUCCCUGCGUCUUGGGCUUCCUCACAGCAUGGCAGCCUCAAGGUGCUCAGACUUCCUGAGCACAGCCGCUCAGGGCUCCAAGAGGGCAUAUUCCCCCAGAUUAGGUUUGUCAGCCGAGUGUGCUCUCCUCAGUUCUGUCUCGUCUCAACAAAAAUUUGAAGCAACGGACGUUAGAGCCCUGGGCGUGUCAUAGCUCUCGGACAGACCGUGUUAUAGCUCUCAGACCGAUCCGUGUUACAGCUCCGUGUUACAGCUCAAUUUUAUUUAGAAAAUUGCAGGAAAAUACAUCCUCGAGGCAUGAGGGCAUGCCGACCCAAAGACGCGAAGAGGAGAGAGGGGGGAGCACGCCAGCGUGCUGGAGAGAGACAGAGAGACCCCAGCCCUUCGGAUCCCCUUUUUAUAUGUUUUUUUCUCCUCCCCCCGGGCCUGCCCUAUGUAAAUUGGGCUAGCCAGGAGUGCUGUUCAUUCUACCUGAGGUCCUCAGACCUACUCAGUUCUACUCAGGUCCUCGGACCUUCCUUUGUUCCAUUUCCACGGGCUUCCUUGUCUUUUAGCCACUGCCGUUCUGGACUCCUGUUUCCUAUUCUAACUACCUAACAGGUGGAAAUGUUAUUGCCUUCUUUAUGACUUAACCUUAGAAGUCAUAUAGUUCUCUCUUCUGCACGCCUCUUCACCUCUCUACUGCCUGUCUCCCCGUGAUUCUGACAUGUGACCCCUCUUUGAGAAACAAGGCACAGGGAAGAUAAAUACAUGGUUUCCUGUCUCGCGGGGUCAUGAACCCACAGAGCAUCUGAGCUGGUAAGGACUUCAAAGCUUACCCAUCCUGACCCCAGUAUGAGGCCCAUGGGGCAUGGAGCAAGCCAGCUUCCAUUUCAGCCUGUGCUACACCCAACACCUAAGAUCAGAGUCCCCAGAACUGGUUUGGUUUUCCUAAACUCACAGAGAAGUGCCAGUAGCUUUAAAGCUUGCUGUUGAUGGACUGAAGGUUGCGUUGAGCCCUAAACCACAUCAAAGGUGGCUCUUGAAACUGCUUCUGGGAAGCCUUUGAGGGAAUCCAUCAGGAAAAGUGUCACACUGCCUGGAAAUUGCCCAGGCGACGGCAUGUGAUUUUCAAGGGCUGUCCUGGUCUGUCUUCCUGUGCAGAGUUUCGUCAGCCCACUCAGAAGACCUUUCUCCUGGGUGACCCACCCUCACGCAGGGCAAUGGGACUUCGCCAUGGAUGAAUGGAUAGUGACUCUAACCACCUCCGCCUCAAGUCAUUUCAGAGAGUUGGGGCAAGAAGGACUCUGGCCUGGAGUUACUAGAAAUCAAAAUUAUUUGGAAAGAUUAUGAAGCCGCCCUUCUCAGAAGGUCUCAAUCGUGGGAGAGACCCCUGCCCCUCAACUCCUUUCACUGAUUUAAGACCCCCUGCAUGGUGGGGGAGAGCGCUGGGAGGACAGACUUGAUGCCUCUAGCAUGCCACCCCAGCCAGCUUCGCCUGAGAAUGAAUUUUGGUUUCCUUGUAUUUUUGGAGGAGGACCUGUCAACUAUAAACCAGCAUCAAGGGCCAAAAAUAAGAAACAGUUUCAAAGGGCCUUAUUGUGAUGUAAGGGUAGUGAGUCUGUCACCUGUGGCCAGCGCCACUGAAUAGCCAAGCCCCUAGGCGUCUAACAACUUGGGGAAGGAGCAGAAGAGAAUGUGUGAAGCCAUCCUUCCAGAUGUCCCCUGCUCGUUUAUUUUGACAUCUCAGACUUUUAUUUUGAUUGUGCACAUUUGUUUAGUCCUGGCGAUAAGGCUUCCCAGGGCGCAGGCAGAGCAUGCCAAGGUGUAUUUUUACAAGGCGGUCGGAGUCCCAGUAACAGGAGACCUCCCUUCUGCCCGGACUGAGAGGCCUGGGCUGCAGCUCGGGGAAGGAUGGAAUCUGAGGAGGCAGGGCUGGAGCAGAGCCUGGGGGAAUUUGGGGGAGAAUUACAGAGUUUGCGGAUUAGGAAAGUGAGGAUAAGCAAAUUUCUGCCGUACUUGUGUUUUCAAAUAUGUCACUUUCAAUCCAGGCCUUUGAUGCACACGUGUUUCUAGUUAAGGACCUCAGCGCGGCCCAGAAGCCAAGCACACAUCUCAGCGUCUUUCCCAAAAGAGGGGCGAAUCCUACCUCCCGGAGGACGCGGUGCAGGGACCAGUGACCACCCCAGACCCGGGUUUGAUUAUUUUUUUCCCCUCUCUCUCUCCCCCCAUUUCAAAUGUCAGGGAACAAAGAGGCUGACACAGAGCUGAUUCCCUGGCUAUUAAUAUUCUCAUUGGAGCAUUUUUAAUAAAUAUUUUCACAUGAAGGAAGGGAGUCGCAAACCCACCCUAUUAAUCAGGCACUUGGCUUGUAUUUAAGAAAGAAAACUCCAGCCUCUUAUUUUAAAAUCCUUUGGUUUGGAAAGAAAUCAUUGAACACAAUGCCCAGGCUGGGAGAACCGGUGCCAAAAAAGCUCAUUUCUCUAAAUGGGCAGGGAGGCUGGAGACUCUUCCUCUAAUCCUUGGCAAGGGACGUGAUGUCUCUUACCAGGUAGGACUGCCGGAUGCUGACUCUCUGAUUGCCCAGAAUGACGUUCCUAGGAUGGAGAGGUGGGAAAUCACCGUACCUCUAUCCCAGAAGGAACUCCUUCCCUCAUAUUAAAGAUGAGGAAAAUGAUGCCAGAAAGGGGAAUCACUUCCUAGAUCAUCCCCUGAAUUACCAGGAGAGCCAGAGUUCAUCCUAAUUCACCUGGUCCAGUCCAGCAUCCUUUUCCCAACUUGACAAUAGCUUCACUCAGCACAGACCAGACCAAAAAUCGGUUGUGUUAAAAAAAAAAAAAAAAGACUUUCAAUUAAAAAACAUUAAAGCUACCCAAGCCCAAGGGAGUCCCUGAAGAUGUUCCCAAGGGUCAAAUUAAAAUAGGGAAAGAUUUGCAUCUCAUUUGCAUACACAGACUCAUUCAUUCAACAGACCAUUAAGUGUCUACCAUGUAUAAUGCAUGGAGCUGUCCACUGGCAAGUUGUUUGCAUAUGCAGAUAUGGACAGGGCAAUCCUUCUAAGUCAUAUUCCUGCAAAAGGUCUUAUAAAGAGGUACCUUCUUGAUUUCUGAAGAUAGGUGCCUUCUUGAUUUCUUUCUGCUCUUUACAAUGCAACAACAGCACCAUUCAGCAUGCUUUUAUAUAGGGAUAAAUAAAAUAUAAUCCCUGACCUCAGGGACGCUACAUUCUGGUGGGGAAGAACGAUGUUCAGAUAAAUUGCAAUACGAAGUGAGCAGUACCGUCGCAGAGAUCUACAGUACGCCCAGUGACUGAAGCAACUCAUGCCGACCACAGGGAGCCCUGUCCUCGUACCUCCACACUUGGGCUCACUCAGCAGACAGACCCUCUCUCUGACAUAGCAGUCCAGAGCUGGGGGAGCUUCAGGGACUGUCUGGUGGGGGGCAGUCCUUCCUUUUAUAGGCGAGAACGGGGGACCUAAGGGGAGAGUAACUCUUGAGAUCUUGAGACCAGAGUAUCCACCAAGCCAGAGUGCAAAGAAGUAGAUAGUGAUUGAUGAUGGGCAGUUUCCUGGCCACCAUGAAGAGCAUGGGCUCUAGAGACUGCCAGCCUGCCCACCUUCCUGGGUUCAAAUACCGGGUCCCUGCUGUGUGACCUUAGGCCAAUUGCUUUACCUCUGUGCUUCGCCUGCCUCAUCCGAAAACGGGGAUAAUUAUGACAUUGCAUGAGGAUUAAAUGAGGUGAAUUCAUACAUUAAAAAGAUUAAAUGAAGUGAAUUCAUACAUUAAAAGGCACUCUGAAAAGUACCUGACACAUAUUACCUGCUUAAUAAACGUUAGUAACAGUAAUUAUGCUUUUACCGUAGUGGCCCCAUGCAUAAUCGCCAGGUGAAGCUCUGCAAAUCAAGCUCCCCUCACAGCCACACCUCGAAAAGAAACUUGGCCACCCCGCCUUGCCUCUCAGCUCUACCUAAUUUAAGAUGUGUUGAAAUCUAACUAACAUUUAGGUCGUGUUUUUCUUCUGAUACUUUGCAAACAUGACCUCGGCUAAUACAACACUCUCCUGGGAUAAA